UUCAGACUUAGCGAAAACAGGCUGUGACUAUUUCAUCAUCCACAUUUUUAAAAAGCACUGUUUUGUUUAUGAAGACUAACCCUAAUCCACAGAUUUUGCAUUUCUGAAUGCAUUUCUCUCUGAAAGUGUGAAACCACUGCUUUUGGCCCCUGUGUGGUCUUCUGAUUAGAGGUCCUAUUUUGAUGGAGUUGCAGAAAUGAGGAAGCUUUAAGACAUUUAUGCACUUGGGUUAAAACUGAAGAUACUGUACAGAGAUCUCAUGUAUAUGAAGUGAUGUCUGGACUGCAGAUCAUCUCAUUCAUUAUCAUCAUCAGCUCUGUGUUACUACAAACUCACUCAGCUGAUGGUGUUGUUUUCUCAGCUGAACUUCCACACACAGUAACAGCUCUGACAGACUCUUGUGUGCUGAUACCCUGCACAUUCAGUAUCACUAAAUUUGAGGAAAAACUAAAGAAAACAAAACAGAUUUAUGGGAUUUGGCUGAAAAAGAGAUCAGACUUUAAUAAUGAAAAGAGUUCAGUAGUGUUUAACAGCAGUCAAAACAUCAUUCAAGGAUUCAGACACAUAGAGAUGAUUGGAAACCUCAAUGAGAGAAACUGCAGCACUGUCUUCUAUAACAUCAUGAUGAAUCAUUCAGACCCGUAUUACUUCAGAAUAGAAAUGAAGCCAAAUGUGUUCAAAGCAACAUUUAACGCCAAUAUACAAAAUGCACAUGAUUCAAGCAAGACUGUGAAGAUCAAUG